UGAGGUACGGCUCAGUGGUAGAGUGUAUGGUUAGCAUACACAAGGUCCUGGGUUCAAUCCCCAGUACCUCCG
rnacentral:tRNA from 1 species